rnacentral:lncRNA from 10 species
UAUAAACUGAGAGAGAAGACUGCCCAAGUUCUGGCCUAUAGACAGAAGACUUCUAACACACAGUUUUUAAAGUAUCUAGUGUAUAUAAGGACAAGCCAUUCUCAGUCAAGCAUGAAACUGAAUCUGAGCAGGAAAAGAAGAAAGCUGAAAACACACUGAGGAUUAUGGGAGAGGGGCAAGUGCAUGAAGCUUCUCAAUGACAUACAGACACUCUAAAAGCUCAAGAGAUCAAUUAUUCAACUUCAAGAACUGAAAUUUGAACACAGAUUUUGAGCUUCCAAAUCAGGAGAAAAAGAAGUGUUCUAUAAGAAGUUUGGACAAGACUCUGCAAGAAGUUAAGAGGUCCUUAAAGGCAACUGUGAAUUAACGGAGACUAGUUUUGAGAAAAUCAGUCCUGAUUUGUUUCUCCUGGAGUUUUCUUCUUUAUGUGAUCCUUCAUAAAAGCUGCUAAUAUGGGAAAGAUUGAAAUCAGCAAGUUUCUGGCUGUAAGCUAAAAGAGGCUCUUGAAUCAUAUUUCCGCCUGCUUAGCAAAUUUCUCUUGCGACAAUUGGAUGUUAUUUGGGGUUCCAUACUAGCAGGAAGAAGUACAAGCAAAGCUAAGUCAUUUUGAGAAUAAAUAUUAUCUCUCUAUAUAUUUGUAAAUGUUAUUUUCUUUUUUUUUGAGGUUUAUGAUUGAUCCUUGGCAUGUGUCCCCUUGUGUAUUGCUCUACUAAAAAUAGCCUAAAAAAGAAUUUUCCCCUCGAUGUGGAGCUUCUCUUUAGUUACAAUUCUACUUUCUCCUUCACUUGAGUAUCAGUCUUCAGAGAACUACCAUAACAAAGGAGUGGAUACAGAUAUACGCAAAAAAGUCUAUGAGAAAAUUAGUACAUUAAAUUUGUGAAAGCUCAUUUAAAGUAAUUUUCUACUAACAAUUUUAAUCAAAUGUAUUAAUCAUAUUUCUAUGCUUAGUGAUGUUAAAUAAAAAUUUAAAAGGUGGCAAUCAAUAAACAGAGAUAAAAGCUUCUCAAGAAUAAAUGAAAGGAAGUAAUAAAAAGACUCACUAAGCUGAAUUGCCUCCUAUCAACAGCAGCUGAUAAAAUAUUAAAAGAUUUGCCUUGUGUAAUGUCUCUGGAGAGCUGUCUUACUGAUGUACGAGGCCAUGAUUGACAACUUUGAGACUUUGCUGGAAGCGACAAAAGUAUAUCUAUAAUAUUAUGCUGAAUUGCAUAGGUCUUUCUUCUUAAAUGAGGCUAGAAAUAACAUACCACCAAGUGUUUGGCUUUUAGGAAAUUGAGCAUUUUCUUUAGUUCUAGCUGCAGUUUAAUUUCCUCAGAAUUAGACAUUAUGCGGUAUCUGGAACGUUAAAAAAAAAAAAAAGCAAAAACAGAGUAUUGUACCUAAUGAUAUGUCAAAUAAUUUUGGAGGAAUUAAGAAAUCACUGGAAGAAAUUACAUGGGUGGGUAAUGGUUUUUAUGUCACAAUAAAUAAUUAGUAAUAUUUACUGACACAUUUCAUGUGCCUGGUACUGAGCUAAAUGAUUUAUGUGCAUUGUUUGUAUUAAGCCCCCAAAAUUCUGUGGUAUAUGUAAUGAUAUUUCCAUUUUUCUUGAGAUAAGGAACUGAAACUCAGAAAAGUUAAGGAACUUGUCCAAGAUUAUAGUAAGUGGCUUAGUUCAAUUUUGAAUCUAGAUCAAUCUGACUCCAACCAGCAUGAUGAACUGAAACUGACUAUGAGGCUGGUGACACUCUAGGCAUUUAUUCACAAGAGGUAUUGUGAUGACAUGUGAGAGAAUGUUGGAUGAAGGAAGCACAUACUAGAAAGAUAGGAAAGACCAGAAAACACAGGGAAGUGCUAUUUAUUUGCUUUCCUAGUUCCAGUAACUUGGUCUAAUGGGGAGGAUGAAAGUAGACAGAUACCUGAAAACACUUUGAGAUUUAUGUAUAAGCAGCAUGACUUCAGUGACCAAGCCACACAGAAUCUGGGAGUGGAACAUUUUCUUUGGUCAUUAUGCCACUGCGGCAUGGUUUGUUAGUGCAGUGAGAACUAAAGUAUAGUGUGGUAACCUGAAACUGUUAUGGUUAUGGGUACACCUGGGUGGGUAGCUGUUCACCCCUUCACAGAGGGUAGGAGUGGUGAUAGCAAAGUAGCUCUUCGCAGUAACUUUCAGAACAUAGACAUUAUGUAAGAUCUGAAGUUUGAAAACCUGAAACAAAAGCAGAGCAUUAUAUCCAAGCACAUUGGAGACAACUGUGGAGGAAUCAAGGAACAUCUAGCAGAGAUUUAAUGUUUUAGGGACUGUUUUUUAUUUCAGAAGGUAAUAAGUGUAAAACAGUCAAACUCUAGGCAUAGGGAUGAACAUUAUUUUGUGUCAUAAAUUUGUCUAAUAUAGUUGCUGCUUCAGCAUCCAGUUUUGGCUUGUCAUGGUCAAGGUGACCAGUCAUGCCCUGUCACCUUUGGUUUUAUUAAAAUUUUCCCUCCUUUAGUGGUUAUUUGUGAUAUAGCCCUGUUGUUCCCCAUCUCACUGACCCCAAAUUCAACACAUGCCACAGCUGCUGGCCACAGUGAAAACUAAUGAUCAACACCAGUCAUGUGAAUAAGACGUCCCUUCAUGUGUUUUCUUUAAGCUAGCCUAUCCACAGCCCCAUGGGAAAGCCUAAAGAAUAGUACCUGUGGAUUAUAAUAAAGACGUCUUACUGGUUCUUGCUCUCUAUCCCUCUCUCUACACACUGGUCAAGUACACUCUUGUCUCCAGACUUCCCAUUGGCCUCCUGUCAACACCUGUACCCACUCUGGACCUGGGAAUAAUAAACUUCUUUUUUUUUUUAAUGUAUUUUGGUUUCACUUCCUCAUUGUAUCUCACCUGACACACACAUACUAUAGUGUUCUCAAUAUUAUUUAAUGUGUUUAACAAAUCAUAACAGAUAAUAUAUGAUUGACACUGUGCCUCCUGAUUUGAUGCAAUAUGGACUAUUCCACAUCACUGAUGAAGUAGUCAUACAAAAAAUAUUUAUCUUGAAUCAAAGCAAGAUUUUAUACCAAAAUUCUAGUUCAAGUUACCUGAUAGAGGAACAUAUUAAACAAUACUAUGUGUAAACAAUACUAUGUGUAAACAAUCAGAAAAAUAAUAGAUUGUAGCCUUCAAAAAACGAUGGCCUUACAAAACAAAUAAACAAAAAGUUUGUGUGGGUGUGUACAUGCAAGGGCUAAUCUCAAAUGCAGAAAGACCAGAAUACAAUAACAAAUAUAAUUCUUGAAAGUGGAUUUCAUCUUGGUUUACCAAAAAUAGCUAUGAGGGAAAUUUGGGUAAGAAUUAGAGAAUUCUGAAUAUAGAAUGAAUUAAAACAUAUUAUGAAUUAAGUUAAUAUUUUUGAUGUUUUCUUUUGAUAUGUUCUUUUAGAAUAUGUAAUAUCCCUAUUUAUUGGAGAUGUGUGCUAAAUUAUUUACAAAUAUUUGGGUAUCUGAAAUUUACUUUCAAAUGCACCAAAAAUAAUAGCUAUACAAAAAGAAAUACAUUAAAUUUACUCUAUAGUAGUAGUUAUUCUUUCUGAGAGGUUUACACAGUAUUUUCCUGUUCUUUUGUAUGUAUGUAUUUUUAAAAGAACGUAGGCCUGGCGCAGUGGCUCACGCCUAUAAUCCCAGCACUUUGGGAGGCCGAGGUGGGCGGAUCACGUGGUCAGGAGAUCGAGACCAUCCUGGCUAACACGGUAAAACCCCGUCUCUACUAAAAACACAAAAACAAAAUUAGCCAGGCGUGGUGGCGGGCGCCUGUAGUCCCAGCUAAUCAGGAGGCUGAGGCAGGAGAAUGGCGUGAACCCGGGAGGCGAAGCUUGCAGUGAGCCGAGAUCAUGCCACUGCACUCCAGCCUGGGCGACAGAGCGAGACUCCGUCUCAAAAAAAACAAAAACGAAAACAAAAACAACAUAAAUAAAUUGAUAAUAUAUCUAUUUUGAUACAGUCAUGGUUAACAUAAAUAAUCCUGGUUAUAUCCAUAUAAAACCAUGAAUAUACAGUAAUAAAUAUUAUAAUUACAAGUAAAUCACCAUAAAUAAAUUCUGUUUUCAAUGUUUCUACU